GGCAGCCCCAUCAAAUUCAGCAUUGUCCGCUGCGGUUGGUGCUGGCCCAGCCACCUGCUAUGGAAGUAACCUGCAGCUCAUGGGCCCCAUGUCAUAGGAGGGACCUUAAAUAUCAUGUAGUUCCAACCCCCCUGCCAUGGGCAGGGACACCU
rnacentral:snoRNA from 1 species